UGUCUGCAAAAUUGUAUUGUAUUAACUUUAAUAACGAACUGACCUUUAAUAAAUUAAUGUAUAAGUUUGGACUAUAUAUUUUCAUUUUUUUUUCUUACUAAGCAGGCUUGGCAGCUUUAUGUAAUAUUUCAGUGUACUACAAAAAAUCAGUUUCGUUACAGGCAACAUUUUCAACAAACUAAUUUUGUUUUUUUUUUACAUUUAGGAAGCGUACAAAAUUUUCAAGUGCAAUACAAAAAACAAAAAGCGUCGCGAAAAAUUCCAAGUUCUCGCUCUCUCUCAGUCAGUUUCUCUCUCGCUCCAUUCAUUGUGCGAUAUGUCAUAUCAAAUCAAGCGCACGCCAUAUUAUCGGCGCAUUUUCAAUAAUAGCCGCCGUAACGGACAGCUGCAGCGUUUACGGGAGGAAUACGAGCGCAUUCAGGAGUUCAAUGAUCGCACCAUCGAGCUGAAGAUGCGUCAGGUGCGUCUCAAGCGUUUGUUCCGUGAAAUCGAGGAUAUCAAUGAGUCGCCAAGCAGCUCAAAUCAACAACAACAACAUCACGGAUUAACCCCGCUGCCCCUUACGCCGGAGGCGCAACUGGAGCAGCAGCGUCGCUUGCGUCUGGAGUCGCUGGAGCGUGCCCGUGAGUUGGGCCAGGAGAUGUCACGCCGUAAUGCGGAGCUGGCGGAAAAUGGCAACGGUUUCUAUUUGCGCAGCGAAUUGCGCUCUACGGCCAAAUCGCGUGCAGCGGAUGCGGCACGGCGGGAGGCGCAGGAGCGACGCCAACGUGCCGCACGGCGUAUCAGUUACGGCAAUGCACAAUCCCGCUCAAAUAUCAAACGCAUUGCGCAGCGUCGACAGCGCCAAGAAGUCAUCGAUUCAUUGCUGUAUGCCAACGAUAAUAAUCGAUCGACACAGCUAGUGGCGGAACUAUCGCAGUCGCCAUCGCAGGCAGAGCAGCAACUGCAUCCGGAUUUAAUCAAACGCUCGAUGCUGCAGCAGCGACUGCAAUAUGGCAACUCUCGCUCCACCAACAACAUGAUGCGCAGUCAAAUUGCUGCCGCGCAGCGUGUGAUCAACUGCAUCUCGCUGCCGCCGUCGCAGUCGCAGCAGGCAGCGCUGCCUGCAGAGCUUGAGAAUCGGUGCAGGGCCAGACAAUUGGAGAUGGAAUACCAGCAUUCGCCUAGUAUCAAUGACAAUCGCAUGCGAAGCAAUAAUAUUAAUCGUGAUGUGCCCCUGGAGAUGGCAUACCAGCAGUUGCCUACAAUCGAUAACAGCGAUAACAACAAUCGAAAUGCGUUAAAUUUUGAAUCGGAAUCGGAGAUGCAAACGGCAAUGUUGCCGCCAACAGAGCCGUCCCAGUUGAGUGACGACGAUAACAUGCCCACCACCAGUCACAAGAUUAAUCCCAAGAUAACCACCGAUGUGGCAACCAUAAGUGGCUUUCAAUCACCGCGGCCAAGUCUCGUACUGAGAGAUUCGCACACUCCAUCGGAAAGGGCUUCGGAACGCUGGCAUCGCAUCUCGUUAACACUGCCCUGGUUCAAGGUACUAGCUCCUGUGGGACCCCAUGAUAUGCCAUCGUCACAGCUGCCCCAGAGCAUUAGCAUCUCCAUUGCCGAAGAGUUGCCAGAUAGCAGCAAUGCAACAACAACAACAACUACAACGGCGACUAGCGGUACUUCCGAUAAUUAUCAUAGCUUCAGGGGUGCAUCAUUGCUGCAGGAGGAUCUCAUGCAGAUCAUGGAAUUGAGCGAUAGUCAGGCUACGGUUCCGGUUCCGCUUCAGGUUGAGCCUCCUGUGCGUCGUACGUUUGGCAAUUAGGCGACAGGUGACUGGCGAUUUCCCCUCACACCCCUCACCACCUGCUGUAUAUUAUUCCUCGCUGACUGUCCACUGUCCCAAAAAGAAAAAAGUGCCAGGAACUUGCUAAAUGGAUAGAGGAAAUAAAAAAAAUUCGGUAUAGGAUGGAUCUGAUUACAAUAUGAUGUCGGGCAUUCGGUAAAAUGGGCAAUAAAACUAGUUUUUUUGUAUGAAUA